GACGAACGCUGGCGGCGUGCCUAAUACAUGCAAGUUGAGCGCUGAAGGUUGGUACUUGUACCAACUGGAUGAGCAGCGAACGGGUGAGUAACGCGUGGGGAAUCUGCCUUUGAGCGGGGGACAACAUUUGGAAACGAAUGCUAAUACCGCAUAAAAACUUUAAACACAAGUUUUAAGUUUGAAAGAUGCAAUUGCAUCACUCAAAGAUGAUCCCGCGUUGUAUUAGCUAGUUGGUGAGGUAAAGGCUCACCAAGGCGAUGAUACAUAGCCGACCUGAGAGGGUGAUCGGCCACAUUGGGACUGAGACACGGCCCAAACUCCUACGGGAGGCAGCAGUAGGGAAUCUUCGGCAAUGGACGAAAGUCUGACCGAGCAACGCCGCGUGGGUGAAGAAGGGUUUCGGAUCGUAAAACUCUGUUGGUAGAGAAGAACGUUGGUGAGAGUGGAAAGCUCAUCAAGUGACGGUAACUACCCAGAAAGGGACGGCUAACUACGUG
rnacentral:rRNA from 1 species